GGUGGAGAAUGUUAAACGAGGAUAACAUUGAUAUUUUGGUAUUAACAAUUAGUUUGAUGAAGUAUGAGGUUAUCUGAUAAUGUCUAGUAUCUAUAUCGAUAGCAUUACAAAGCAGUUAAUGUCAUUUACCCGAGAGUAUCACCAGCCCAGUAGCCAGUACUUCGGUACUGGCAUGAAAAUACGGAUUUUUUGUGUUAUUAAAAUUUGCU
rnacentral:lncRNA from 1 species